UACGGAGGGUGCAAGCGUUAUCCGGAUUCACUGGGUUUAAAGGGAGCGCAGGAGGGCAGGUAAGUCAGUGGUGAAAUCUUCGAGCUUAACUCGGAAACUGCCGUUGAUACUAUCUGUCUUGAAUACCGUGGAGAUGAGCGGAAUAUGUCAUGUAGCGGUGAAAUGCUUAGAUAUGACAUAGAACACCAAUUGCGAAGGCAGCUCGUUACACGAAUAUUGACUCUGAGGCUCGAAAGCGUGGGUAUCAAACAGG
rnacentral:rRNA from 1 species